rnacentral:rRNA from 1 species
AUUGAACGCUGGCGGCAGGCCUAACACAUGCAGGUCGAGCGGAUGAAGGGAGCUUGCUUCUGGAUUCAGCGGCGGACGGGUGAGUAAUGCCUAGGAAUCUGCCUGGUAGUGGGGGAUAACGUCCGGAAACGGGCGCUAAUACCGCAUACGUCCUGAGGGAGAAAGUGGGGGAUCUUCGGACCUCCCGCUAUCAGAUGAGCCUAGGUCGGAUUAGCUAGUUGGUGGGGUAAAGGCCUACCAAGGCGACGAUCCGUAACUGGUCUGAGAGGAUGAUCAGUCACACUGGAACUGAGACACGGUCCAGACUCCUACGGGAGGCAGCAGUGGGGAAUAUUGGACAAUGGGCGAAAGCCUGAUCCAGCCAUGCCGCGUGUGUGAAGAAGGUCUUCGGAUUGUAAAGCACUUUAAGUUGGGAGGAAGGGCAGUAAGUUAAUACCUUGCUGUUUUGACGUUACCAACAGAAUAAGCACCGGCUAACCUCGUG